GCCCCGGUCGGCCACGCUCCGCGGGGAGAAGGGGCAAUUCCGGCGGUGGGGGGCGGCCCACGGCCCACGUUACCUCCACCCACUGGGCCUCGGAGUCCCGCUCGGGCGGCCGCACCUGCAGGCGGGCGGAGACGCUCUGCUGCAGCAGGGCCCGGGCCCGUGCCGGCCGCGCCGCCGCCAUGGCGAGCCCGCAGCGCUGAGGGCGGGGCCGGCUCACGCCUUUCCGGCCCCGGCCCCGGCUGGAGCCCGCGGGUCACGGGCGGCGGAGAGCGUAACGCGGCUCCUUGUGUGGAUGGUUAAACGGGGGUUUCUGAUCUGCCCUCUCUAUGGAGGGGGCUGAAUACAAGCUUUAGAACAGGAUUAAACGAAGUAUUUCUACAGCUCUACUUACCGAUGCCCCAAUAGCUAGCAGGAAGCGGGCUUUGGUUUCUUAUUUUGAUGAGGAAUGAAAGAUCUCCUUUUCUUUUGAUGGGGAAAUGUUACAUGCUUGUGAUAAGAGCAGCAUGCUGUAUAGUUUAUGCAUGGAAAAGAAAAUCUGAAUAUUGUUUGUUAUUUCUUUUGUUCAUUGCUUGUUUGUGUUUCAGGUGGCUGAGAUCAGUCUAUGAAGUUGGCAUAUUUCUCUUCAAUGAUACUGCAUUGGAGCAGAGGGAGCAGAAAACGCAGUUAAAAGGGAUCUGGGUUUUUGGCUACCCUGAUACUCCUUGAUACCCUGAUACUCCUUGAACAGCUCCAAAACUGGAAGAGUUGUGUCUUUCUCCCAUACAGGAAUUCUGACAGAGACAAGUUUUGAACAAUACUGCCUUCAUUCAAGUCAGGAUAGAAUUAUGUGGAAUUCAGUAUCUCUCUCCAAAUUCAUUUUAUGACUGGAGAUUUCAUUUUAACAGUGUUUAAAAAUAUUGUGUUUUUUACAAAUAAAAAAGUUAAUAUAUAGCAGUGUGAGUAAGAAGCUGACUUUUAGUACUUGGAGUCAAUCGUAGAGUAAGAUUACCAAAGAUCCCUAUUGAACAGCAAAGGCCAAUAUGCACUUCUGAAUAAUCAAUGUUACACAUAGGGGUAUACCCAACUUCCGUCUGUCAUUUUAAAAGAAGAUUCUUGAUGUGUGUUCAACAAGGUUGUUCUUCCCAAAGCAAACUUUUCUGGAAGAAUGGGAAAUUGCACUAGGUGGUUAGUGUAUGAAGUAGCUCAUUUUCUGUUAGCUGUAUGAUAUGUUCUUAUUCAAACUCAGCUAAUUUUAAGUACCUUCUGUUCAUUUACUUGAAAGCUGUAUCCCCAGACUCAUUAAGAAGAGUUUAAUGAGGUAGAAAUCCAUUUAAAAUGAGAGGGUUUUCCAUAUAUAUUUGCGAUAUAAAUUGAUUGUUAAGGAAAAUAGAUUUUUCUACAGUCUGAGCAAAUUAUACUAAGCAGAUUAUAGAGGGCUAUAAGAAUAUUGCUUGUUAUUUGGUGCUGUGCCAUUAUUUACACCAGGGUAUGAUGGAGAACAUUUAUUCAUGUGCAAGUUACAAUACAAAUGCCUGUGAAACAUUGCAUAGAAAAAAUGGGUAUGACAUAAUUGUUUAUGUAUGGAUUCUUGGUGGAAUUAUGUCAUUUUUUCCUUGGGAAGUCAAGUAAUUCUGUUGCACCUUGAAUUUCUUGACUCUUACUGGCUUAUUGUUAGAUUAAGGGCCACUCUUUUUAGGCCAAGGAAUGAUAGUAAAUUUGUUGGAUAAAUUGUAGGUGUGGAUUUGGAUUUGACUGAGGAUUUUAUAUUAAAAAAAACACCUCCUGACAUCUAAAGAAUAUAUCCAUGCAUAAAAUAUAUUGGUAUUUUUAUCAGGUACUAUAUAAAGACAUUUUUCUGCA